CAAAACGAGAGCUGUGAUAUUUAAUUAGGCUUGUGAGAUUUGAUUUCCAGUUAAAUUAAAAUGCCACUUUGUCCUUUGUGUUCGCCAGCCUCUUUACUCUGUUGCUUCAGUGCACGCUGCGAUUCGCGCGAUGCAAAAAACGGCCAAGGGGAGGAAGCGAGGAAGAGGAGACAGCGUGAGGGGAAAGAGACAGACACUGACUUCUCAAGCUCUCACUGUUCGGCUCACCACUGUCAACCUCAGUGUUUGUCUUCCAGUUCAGCCUGUGGUCGAUGUGGAUGGUCAGCUUCUUCUACCACAUUAACAUCUGAGGAUAGACACAGUAUUCACCGACAAUCACGCUGUGAUGGAUGCAUCGGAGAGCAACUUGGGCUGAGUAUGUUGUUCAAGCAUAUUUGGCGUCCGGGCUGGAGCAGCCAGGGAUCGAACCACCAACUUUCAGAUUAGCAGACGACCUGCUCGCCAUCGGCCACCACCAACUGUCUCAGUCACACUAGAUUAAAAAUAGAAGGACAACCUCAUCGCUACAAUCUGUGGUUGCCAAGUGAUUACAGUGAAUCUUUUUCCUCAUUCAUCAAUUGAUUACAAGUAAGUGGAGUGACCAACUAGCUACCUAGAGGUGGAGUAUGUAACCACUUAUGAUCGCAAGGCAAUUGCAAUGGUCACCUGGCGGGAGACAACAUGUCUCCAAACAAUCAUGGUAUCUGGCAACGGCAGUCAUUCUCAGACAGACUGAGCACUGAGCCUGCAAUGCAACCGGGGAUUUGACUUAACUGGUUACCAAGUAGUGGUAUUCCAGAGAAUUUCAAGCAAGCAAGGUUGCAAUUAAAUUGCUGUCCUGCAGCAACUAUGUCACUAUUUGUGGAGGGGAUUCUAAAUUUCUCUUUCAGCUUUGUGGAGUUUCUGGCUAGACUCUGGAUGUAAGUAGUUAAUGUGAAUGUUUCUUUAACUAUAUAAAUUAACUUGUUUUUAUGCAGAUGGCAACAGAAUUGUGACUUUUGCCAAUUUAUCACAAACAGCUUGCGCAUAAUUGUCAACUUGAUCCUGUUCUAUAGUAGACCAGCUCCAUGUCAUUCUCAUUUUAUUUCCUUCUUGAUACACCAAAGUCACUUUGAAGACAGACUGACUGUGAGUGGCAACAGAUCUGGUCCCUGUCUUUGAAGCAACCAUUUCAAAGGCAACGAGAUUGCAAGCUCAUUGCUCGAAGAUGCAAUAAUUUUGGUCGUGCCGCAGCCUCCAAACACUGUUUUCCCUUGAGGAACUGUAGAAAAACCUCUUUUACUAGCACAGGCUAUUCAGUUUACUGCAAUACAAUACCAGGACUAGUAGACUGCCUGCAUUUGAAAAACUGGAGCCACGUAACAGCCCAGUUUUUGCUUGCGAAUCAAUGAAUUGAUUAAUCACUGACUAAUUACUGAAUCUCAAAUUUCAAGUACUGUAUGAUAUGACGCCGUCUGAAAUGUAGUGAAAACGUACAAAUUUGGUGAACAAACUGAAACGUGUAAGGAAACUAGAAAUAUCCUGUAAUUCUGUCUAAGUGCAUUAUUUGAGAGUCUGUAUUUAUUCUCCACCCCUGGGUUCUUUCAGAAAUACUUGGACUCAUUUAUUGCAUUUGCAGUAUUAAAAACAGACUUUUUUUUUUUUAUUAUUUGUUUGUUUGUGAAAAGCUGACAUUUUGAAGCUGCAGUCCAAGGCUUUCACAUGGCAACGGCCAAAACACCACAACAAUAGCACGCGAAGGUUAAAAUAGAUUUUGGCAAACAACACCCACGACUAAUCAUGCGUGUGCCUGCACUACAAUGGGGGUUUUCAUGCUUCUAAGCCCUAAUAAAGUCAAAG